rnacentral:misc_RNA from 1 species
CGCCAGGUAGUGCCUGUUGCUGAUGUUCCAGCCGCCGGUGUAGUACCUGAGCCCGUCCAGGGGGUCCUUCCGCCGCGUGCGCUCCGCCGCCAGCACGGUCGUCGUCGUGUCGGACGCCGCAGCUGCAUGCAAUUCAUCCACGUACGUGUGUCAGCUCACCGAUACCGGUCGUUCGCACAAGAAGCUCUUCAUGUGGACGAAGAAAAAAAAAGGGUACCUGACGCAUGGGCGCAGAGGGUUGCAGAGACGACGACGAGGACGACGAGCCAGCUUCUGCCGGACCCGGACGGUCCCAUGGCUGCCCUGCUGUGCUGCCUGCCUGUGCAAUUGGAAGCGACCCUGAUCG